CAAGUCGAACGGCAGCACAGUAAGAGCUUGCUCUUAUGGGUGGCGAGUGGCGGACGGGUGAGGAAUACAUCGGAAUCUACUUUUUCGUGGGGGAUAACGUAGGGAAACUUACGCUAAUACCGCAUACGACCUACGGGUGAAAGCAGGGGACCUUCGGGCCUUGCGCGAUUGAAUGAGCCGAUGUCGGAUUAGCUAGUUGGCGGGGUAAAGGCCCACCAAGGCGACCAUCCGUAGCUGGUCUGAGAGGAUGAUCAGCCACACUGGAACUGAGACACGGUCCAGACUCCUACGGGAGGCAGCAGUGGGGAAUAUUGGACAAUGGGCGCAAGCCUGAUCCAGCCAUACCGCGUGGGUGAAGAAGGCCUUCGGGUUGUAAAGCCCUUUUGUUGGGAAAGAAAUCCAGCCGGCUAAUACCUGGUUGGGAUGACGGUACCCAAAGAAUAAGCACCGGCUAACUUCGUGCCAGCACCCGCGGUAAUACGAAGGGUGCAAGCGUUACUCGGAAUUACUGGGCGUAAAGCGUGCGUAGGUGGUUGUUUAACUCUGUUGUGAAAGCCCUGGGCUCAACCUGGGAACUGCUGUGGAAACUGGACAACUAGAGUGUGGUACAGGGUAGCGGAUUUCCCGGGUGUACCAGUGAAAUGCGUAGAGAUCGGGAGGAAC
rnacentral:rRNA from 1 species